GAUUCUGGCUCAGAACGAACGCUGCGGCAGGCUUAACACAUGCAAGUUGAACGGGAUUCUAGAGUAGCUUGCUAUUUGGAUGAGAGUGGCGCACGGGUGAGUAAUACGUGGGAACAUACCUAUUGGUGGGGGAUAACGCUGGGAAACUGGUGCUAAUACCGCAUAAGCCCUACGGGGGAAAGAUUAAUUGCCGAUAGAAUGGCCCGCGGCAGAUUAGGCAGUUGGUGGGGUAAAGGCCUACCAAACCGACGAUCUGUAGCUGGUCUGAGAGGACGAUCAGCCACAUUGGGACUGAGACACGGCCCAGACUCCUACGGGAGGCAGCAGUGGGGAAUAUUGGGCAAUGGGCGAAAGCCUGACCCAAGCAACGCCGCGUGAGUGAAGAAGGCUUUCGGGUUGUAAAGCUCUGUUAUAGGUGACGAAGGAAGUGACGGUAGCCUAUAAGGAAGCCCCGGCUAACUACGUGCCAGCAGCUGC
rnacentral:rRNA from 1 species